CCUACGGGGGGCUGCAGUAGGGAAUAUUGCUCAAUGGGGGAAACCCUGAAGCAGCAACGCCGCGUGGAGGAUGAAGGUUUUCGGAUUGUAAACUCCUUUUGUUAGAGAAGAUAAUGACGGUAUCUAACGAAUAAGCACCGGCUAACUCCGUGCCAGCAGCCGCGGUAAUACGGAGGGUGCAAGCGUUACUCGGAAUCACUGGGCGGAAAGAGCGCGGAGGCGGGAUAGCAAGUCAGAUGUGAAAUCCUAUGGCUUAACCAUAGAACUGCAUUUGAAACUGUUAUUCUAGAGUAUGGGAGAGGUAGGUGGAAUUCUUGGUGUAGGGGUAAAAUCCGUAGAGAUCAAGAGGAAUACUCAUUGCGAAGGCGACCUGCUAGAACAUAACUGACGCUGAUGCGCGAAAGCGUGGGGAGCAAACAGGAUUAGAUACCCGGGUAGUC
rnacentral:rRNA from 1 species